GGACGCCGCUCGGCCGGGCCGGGCUCUGCGGCGGCCGGGAGGGAGUCGAGGGGACCGGGGCCAGGGCCGGGGCCAAGAGAGGCAACGCCGUGGCUCCGACUCGAGGCGGGAAAGUUUUAAACAAUGAGUCAAGCUGAUGAAGGAAGUUCCACUGACACAGAACUGGCAACUGAGAAUGAGUCACCCACCUAUGUGCUGACUCCAGCAGCUCCUAGCCAGGAGGAGGCACCCACUGACCUAACAGCAAGUCCUGCGUUUCAGUACUUAGAUGAGCUAUUUUCUGCUGGAAAAAUCACAGACACCAGAGUAGCUGAGCUGAAGGAACAGUACACCCUGCUGCAUGAGGCUGUGAUAAGUUUACAGGAAUCUGAGACCCAACUGUUGCAGGAAGCCAAACGCCUGAGUGCAGAACUGGAACAACAAUGUGAAUUGGAAAAAGCAGAACAGCUCCCUGAAGAAGCUUCCAGUGAAACUUCCCAAAUAAGGCAACAACUUUUUAGCUGCCGAAGUGAAUACAAUGCUAUUAAAGGAAGAGUGUGUGAAAAUCGUUUGAAGAUAGAAUGUUUGCGAGAAGAAAAAAAGCUUCUGGAAAAUGAAUAUGAAAAAAUGUCAAAAGAAAAGAAAAAUGAUAAAAUUAAAGAGUUGAAAGAAAAUUGUGAUGAGCUCAGCAAAGAAGUAAUCCAGAGGAAAGCAGAAAUUGAUUCAAUAAAAGAAGCUGUUUCAUCCAAAGAAAAGCUGAUAUUAACAGAUGAGGAAGAAAUGGAAAAGCUUCAGGAGAUGCAGACUUAUUUAAAAGCUGAGCUAGUUAGGAUCCUUGGUGUUCCAAAGCAACUUGCAAAAGAAACUGAGAAGUUGAAUCAGAAAAAAAUUGAUGCAGAGAAGAAGAAUGAAGCCCUUAAUGACCAAAUAGAAGAAUUGAAUAGCACCCUGAAAGCCACUGGAAAAAGGACUGAAGAGAUUUUGCAAGAGAAAGAAGAUGUAAUGAAGGAAUUGGAGGAGAGACAAACUUUGAUACAAAAAAACGAACGAGAAUGCAUUAAUUUGACAAAAUUACUAGAAAUUAAUGCAGAGAAGGAAUUAGCCAUCCUAUCUGACAGACAAAUUCUGGAAAAUAAUUUAAAUAAACAUGUCUUGGAGAACAAAAAUCAACAAGAUAUUCUCAGUCACCAUCAAACACAGAAAGAUAAAGAACUGAAAAGUUUAAAAAAGAUAGAGUUACAACUGAAAGGGAUUUGGGAUUCCUUGGAAGGAGAUAAGGCGAAGCAUAAAAGACUCAAAUCAGAGGCAGAAAUUAACUCAAAAAACAAUGCCGUAUUAUUAGAAAGACGACAAGAACUGCAGGAAGAGAUCGAAACAGUCAAGAGAGAUUUAGCUGAACAGGAAAUGAUAUCUGAUAUGGAUGCCCGCGUGUUAGAAGAAUGCAUUGCUGCAGAAUACUUGCUUUUCAAAGAGCAGGAAAAAUGCAGAAAUGAGUUAUCCACACUUACACAUCUGACUUGGCUCAGAGCUGAUGAGAGGCAACUGAAAUGCAGGGAUGUUCAGAAAGCCAAGAUUGAACUCCAAAGUCUCGUUAAGGAACUAAAAAGAAAGGAUCGUGAACUAAUCACCUGUAAAAAGAUGAAAAAAGAAAACCAAAAAGAACUCCAAGGAUUUACUAAGAUGUAUGAUCUUAUGCUAAUUGAAAAGGAUAAAUGUAUAGAUUUGAUGCGUAUUGCUCAGUGGAAAGCAAGGGAAGUUGAAAACCGGGUAAAAUUGGUAGAAAAUAAUAUGCAAAAUUUAAGAGAUGCUGUUAUAACCAGAGAAAGAAAAUUGCAGGACAUGUAUCUGAAGAUUAAAAAGAAUGAGAGAAUGAAAGAGUUGAUCAAAAAGGAUUAUUCCAAAGUGGAACAAGAGAUGCUAGAGAGUAAAGAAAAGGAAAAGUAUUUGAAUGUUGACAGACUUACCACUGCAGCCACACACAUUGAAGAAGAAAUUUUGCAGCUACGCAAAAAUUAUGAAAGGGCUAUUGAGCAACGAAAUGAGAGUGGUCUUUUGCUCAGAGAACGAGAAGAAGAACUAGGCUUUUUGUAUGAAAAAAUAAACAGGCAAGAGAUGUUGUGUAGGAAUGGAGAUACUAAAAUGCAAGUUAUGGAUGAAAAGAUCAGUUUUCUGAAGCUGAAGUUAGUUGAGAAAAAAAGAGAGGUUAAAUUGUGUUUUAAAGAGCUCACAGUGAAGAAUGCCCUGGAUGCACAUCUGAUGAGUCUUCGGAUACAGUAUUCCCAGUGCAGGGACAAGAUAAAAAAGCUUGAGGAAAACUAUGGUGAUGCCACAAAUGAGAGCAGAAAGCAAGAAAUGGGAGGGAAGGACCCAUCUCCACCUGAACUGCUAAAAAGGAUUGAAAAGAUAGAGGCAGAGCUGGUCCAGAAGGAGCAGAGACUGCUGAAGAUAGAUUUUCUCUGUGAGAACAUUUCUGAUCUGACGGACAGAAUCCGUGCUGUGGUGGACAACGGCAAGCAGGACAUGCUGCUGUUUGCUAGGAGGACCAACGAACUGCAGAGGAAGAUAAAUCACAAAACCCAGGAGAUAAGGGCUCUUUUUGCAGAGUUAUCCAUGAAGCAAGCACUUGCUAUUAAACUCCAGCAGGAAAUCAGAGAUAAAGAACAAUUUGUGAUGACUGCUUCAUUAAUGAUAAGUCAAGGCCUUCCCCCUCCUAAAGCAGAAAAGGAACGGUGGAAGAUCCUACACAAUGAGAAGACACAAAAAGCAGCAGCUGAAGCCAGAGCUAAACAGCCUGCAGAGGAGAAACAAGGUGCAGUGCCCAGCCAGGCCCCCACUAGCCCCGAGGAGGAGGAGGAGGAGGGGCUCCCACUGUUGCAGCCUCACGUGGCUCCCUUCAGACCGAGUGAGCCCCGCCCGAGUCCAAGACAUUUCAAAAAGCCUCCUGCAAAGCCAUCUGAAAUCUGAACAGACGGCACUUGAAGCAGGAGAGACCAUUACCAGCUGCUGGAUCACAAGAGUCAGUAGCAUUUACACUGCACUGAAGGAAGAUCUGCUGGUGUUCAGCCAAAUUCCAUGCUGAAAAUGAAGUAUUUGUUCAUGCCAAAAGCACAGCUAACUGGUCAGUGAUCCAGAAUCCUUUCUCCUCAUAUCCCAAAUGCAGUGCAGUAUUUCCAAGUGCCAAGAAAAGUGAAUGAUCCUCAUGCAAUACUUAUAUUUUUUUUCCAGAUGAAGUUUUAUUGCAUCUGAAGGAUGAUAACCAUACAUGGAGGCUCUUGGCCCCUGACACUUUCCAUCAGCAGAAAGACAACCAAGCCUAUGUGUUCAACAACACUGGAAUUUUAAUAACUCAGUAUGUCAGUAUAGGCAGGAUACAUCUGAGUGAGCAUCAAAAGAGUAAAGUAGAUGCCCCAUUCCUCAAACCUCCUUCAGCACAGGUCUUCUCAGGCUCAUCCUAAGGAACUUUAGACAAACAGAACUCUGGGAAGGAAAGAUACUGGGAAUUCCUGUGAUGUGCAAUAAGAGCAAAAGGGGAGAAGGAGAAAUGCAUCUCCCAUUCUGCCGGAACAAUUUAUGGAGGACCAGUAACCAGCUCUUGUGGCUGCACAAGUCGCCUUGUCAGUGGGUAA